rnacentral:rRNA from 1 species
ACGGAGGAUGCGAGCGUUAUCCGGAUUUAUUGGGUUUAAAGGGUGCGUAGGUGGACUGUUUAGUCAGUGGUGAAAUGCUGAUGCUCAACGUUAGCAUUGCCGUUGAAACUGACAGUCUUGAGAGUGAUUGAGGCAGGCGGAAUGUGUGGUGGAGGGGUAAAAUGAAAAAAACUCACACAGAACCCCAUGGGGGAGGGCGCCUUCCAAAGCCACAACUGACACUGAAGCACGAAAGCGUGGGGAUCAAACAG